AGUGAACGCUGGCGGUAGGCCUAACACAUGCAAGUCGAACGGCAGCACAGGAGAGCUUGCUCUCUGGGUGGCGAGUGGCGGACGGGUGAGGAAUACAUCGGAAUCUACUUUUUCGUGGGGGAUAACGUAGGGAAACUUACGCUAAUACCGCAUACGACCUACGGGUGAAAGCAGGGGAUCUUCGGACCUUGCGCGAUUGAAUGAGCCGAUGUCGGAUUAGCUAGUUGGCGGGGUAAAGGCCCACCAAGACGACGAUCCGUAGCUGGUCUGAGAGGACGAUCAGCCACACUGGAACUGAGACACGGUCCAGACUCCUACGGGAGGCAGCAGUGGGGAAUAUUGGACAAUGGGCGCAAGCCUGAUCCAACCAUACCGCGUGGGUGAAGAAGGCCUUCGGGUUGUAAAGCCCUUUUGUUGGGAAAGAAAUCCAGCUGGCUAAUACCCGGUUGGGAUGACGGUACCCAAAGAAUAAGCACCGGCUAACUUCGUGCCAGCAGCCGCGGUAAUACGAAGGGUGCAAGCGUUACUCGGAAUUACUGGGCGUAAAGCGUGCGUAGGUGGUCGUUUAAGUCCGUUGUGAAAGCCCUGGGCUCAACCUGGGAACUGCAGUGGAUACUGGGCGACUAGAGUGUGGUAGAGGGUAGCGGAAUUCCUGGUGUAGCAGUGAAAUGCGUAGAGAUCAGGAGGAACAUCCAUGGCGAAGGCAGCUACCUGGACCAACACUGACACUGGGGCACGAAAGCGUGGGGAGCAAACAGGAUUAGAUACCCUGGUAGUCCACGCCCUAAACGAUGCGAACUGGAUGUUGGGUGCAAUUUGGCACGCAGUAUCGAAGCUAACGCGUUAAGUUCGCCGCCUGGGGAGUACGGUCGCAAGACUGAAACUCAAAGGAAUUGACGG
rnacentral:rRNA from 1 species